rnacentral:tRNA from 1 species
GCCUUCGUGGUGUAACGGUAGUACAUUCGGCGUGUAUUCAAAAGGUCCAGGUUCGAGUCCCGGCGAAGUCA